rnacentral:tRNA from 1 species
GUUUAAAUAGUUUAAAUUAAAAUAUUGAUUUGUGGUGUCAUUGAUGAGAAUUAUUCUCUUUAAACC